GUACACUCCUGCGGGAGGCAGCAGUGGGGAAUAUUGGACAAUGGGCGAAAGCCUGAUCCAGCAAUGCCGCGUGAGUGAUGAAGGCCUUAGGGUUGUAAAGCUCUUUUACCCGGGAUGAUAAUGACAGUACCGGGAGAAUAAGCCCCGGCUAACUCCGUGCCAGCAGCCGCGGUAAUACGGAGGGGGCUAGCGUUGUUCGGAAUUACUGGGCGUAAAGCGCGCGUAGGCGGCUUUGUAAGUUAGAGGUGAAAGCCCGGAGCUCAACUUCGGAAUUGCCUUUAAGACUGCAUCGCUAGAAUCGUGGAGAGGUGAGUGGAAUUCCGAGUGUAGAGGUGAAAUUCGUAGAUAUUCGGAAGAACACCAGUGGCGAAGGCGACUCACUGGACACGUAUUGACGCUGAGGUGCGAAAGCGUGGGGAGCAAACAGGAUUAGAAACCCCGGUAGUCCCAUGAU
rnacentral:rRNA from 1 species